AGCGAACGCUGGCGGCAGGCCUAACACAUGCAAGUCGAACGGAUCCUUCGGGAUUAGUGGCGGACGGGUGAGUAACACGUGGGAACGUGCCCUUUGGUUCGGAACAACUCAGGGAAACUUGAGCUAAUACCGGAUGUGCCCUUCGGGGGAAAGAUUUAUCGCCAUUGGAGCGGCCCGCGUCUGAUUAGCUAGUUGGUGAGGUAACGGCCCACCAAGGCGACGAUCAGUAGCUGGUCUGAGAGGAUGAUCAGCCACACUGGGACUGAGACACGGCCCAGACUCCUACGGGAGGCAGCAGUGGGGAAUCUUGCGCAAUGGGCGAAAGCCUGACGCAGCCAGGCCGCGUGAAUGAUGAAGGUCUUAGGGUUGUAAAAUUCUUUCAGCGGGGACGAUAAUGACGGUACCCGCAGAAGAAGCUCCGGCUAACUUCGUG
rnacentral:rRNA from 1 species